UACGGAGGGUGCAAGCGUUAUCCGGAUUUACUGGGUUUAAAGGGUGCGUAGGUGGGUCUGUAAGUCAGUGGUGAAAUCUCCGGGCUUAACCCGGAAACUGCCAUUGAUACUAUAGGUCUUGAAUUAUCUGGAGGUGAGCGGAAUAUGUCAUGUAGCGGUGAAAUGCUUAGAUAUGACAUAGAACACCAAUUGCGAAGGCAGCUUACUACACAGUAAUUGACACUGAGGCACGAAAGCGUGGGGAUCAAACAGG
rnacentral:rRNA from 1 species